rnacentral:rRNA from 1 species
GACGAACGCUGGCGGCGUGCUUAACACAUGCAAGUCGAACGGAAAGGCCCUGCUUUUGUGGGGUGCUCGAGUGGCGAACGGGUGAGUAACACGUGAGUAACCUGCCCUUGACUUUGGGAUAACUUCAGGAAACUGGGGCUAAUACCGGAUAGGAGCUCCUGCUGCAUGGUGGGGGUUGGAAAGUUUCGGCGGUUGGGGAUGGACUCGCGGCUUAUCAGCUUGUUGGUGGGGUAGUGGCUUACCAAGGCUUUGACGGGUAGCCGGCCUGAGAGGGUGACCGGCCACUUGGGGGGGGGGACGGCCCCAGGGGUCCCCCGGGAGGGAUGGGUGGGGAAUAUGGCCAAAAGGCCGGGGGGCGGCUGCAGAAACGCCGGUGGGGGGAGGGGGGGAGGCGGGUUGAAAAACGGUUUCGCCUGGGACGACGCCUUGGGGGUGGUAAUGGGUAAAGACCAACCGGCAACCUUGG